CUGGAGCGCGCGUACAAGUACAUGCGCGCGGACGAAGGAGCUUCCGACCGGUGCCUGACUUAAGGCACGGGCCGAAAGGAAAAAUGGAAGAAAGGUCGGGCCCAUGCUGAACCCAGCAGGCCCUCCACCGAUAGACGGGUCUUGCCCCGACGAUGGAGUCCGAGACCGAUGCAUCGCAGGUAUGACUCCUACACCCCUCUCCCCACUCCUCGUGCGCAGAUCCUGAUAGAGAUCGAAGGAGCG
rnacentral:lncRNA from 1 species